GCACCUGAAGCUCAGAUGGUUGUAGCACGCGGCUGAUAACCGCGCGGUCGAAGGUUCAAAUCCUUCCGGGUGCA
rnacentral:tRNA from 1 species